rnacentral:rRNA from 1 species
CGCGUAGGCGGACCAGCAAGUCAGGGGUGAAAUCCCGAGGCUCAACCUCGGAACUGCCUUUGAAACUGCUGGUCUUGAGUUCGAGAGAGGUGAGUGGAAUUCCUAGUGUAGAGGUGAAAUUCGUAGAUAUUAGGAAGAACACCAGUGGCGAAGGCGGCUCACUGGCUCGAUACUGACGCUGAGGUGCGAAAGCGUGGGGAGCAAACA